CCACGGGUGGCUGCAGUGGGGAAUAUUGGACAAUGGGCGAAAGCCUGAUCCAGCCAUGCCGCGUGUGUGAAGAAGGCCUUCGGGUUGUAAAGCACUUUCAGUGGGGAAGAAAGCCUUGGGGCUAAUACCCUCGAGGAAGGACAUCACCCACAGAAGAAGCACCGGCUAACUCCGUGCCAGCAGCCGCGGUAAUACGGAGGGUGCGAGCGUUAAUCGGAAUUACUGGGCGUAAAGCGCGCGUAGGCGGUCUGAUAAGCCGGUUGUGAAAGCCCCGGGCUCAACCUGGGAACGGCAUCCGGAACUGUCAGGCUAGAGUGCAGGAGAGGAAGGUAGAAUUCCCGGUGUAGCAGUGAAAUGCGUAGAGAUCGGGAGGAAUACCAGUGGCGAAGGCGGCCUUCUGGACUGACACUGACGCUGAGGUGCGAAAGCGUGGGUAGCAAACAGGAUUAGAUACCCGAGUAGUC
rnacentral:rRNA from 1 species